UCUUCUGAAUGCAUCAUUCCUUGGCAUCACUAGCUCUGGAACCUUCACCGUUCCUAUUGUCUAUCACCGUUCACUAGCUCUGGCAUCAAUACUCAGUCCCGUUUCACUAUUCUACUGAUUCCGAUCAUUUGUUUUGGUGUUGAUCCAGGUCUGUUGUCCGUCCAAGUUGGUAUUGUGGCGGUAGUUUAAUUCCUGAAACAUCUGCACAUAUUAAUUUCUAUGCUAUAAUCUCUUUCCUUAUCAUUUAUUGCUUAGAUUUUCUAUCAAUCUAGGGUUUUCUUCUAUCCUUCUCUUUCCAAUUAUCUUUGUUCACAGAUCUUCUUCUUUCCUUCUUUUUCCAAUUAUCUCUGAUUUCUUUCUCUUCUAGACUUUUUUAAACUGCCUUUUUGCAAUUUCUAUGUUUUUGUUGAUGAUUGUGCCUAGAUUUAGGAUUAUAGUCUGGAGAUUUGAAGCACGCUGGUUAUCAUUACCAAUUUCUUUAUAUUGCCCCGAUGAGAAGGAAAUAAAAUGUAUUUUUGACACAAACAAAAAAAAGAAGAAAGAAAGAAAUAUAAUUGAAAAAAAUAAUGAUAAAGUGGUAUUUUUAAAGGAGAAAUAGGGCCAAAACUAGGCCCAAAAAGGAGCCUAGCCGCCAGCCAAGCUGCUAGCCGCGCCUGACAUGAUCUGCCACCUGUCCCACUCCUCGCCAGUCUGCUCCCCACGCGCCCAACAAAGAAGCCUGCCGCACCUGACGCCGCCUGCCACGUUCUGCCACACCAGCUACUGAGCCAAUAUGCUUCCGCCACGUGCCUCCUUGUCUCCCACGGCUCAACAACACUUUCCCCACUUUGCUCCAAUUUUGCAACUAUUUCCCCCACUAUUUUGUACACGGGUUUAUACAUUUUGGGUCUUAUUUUCCACUAUAAAUAGAGAACCAAAUGGAGUAAAAAACUAAUCAGAUUGGGAAAUUAAAAGUGGAGAGUAUAGUGAGAGAAAUUUUUUUUUUUUUUAUUUGUCUUUCAUCUUUUUUAUAUUACUUUGAGUGAAAACAAUGCUUAUUUUAGGCUAAAUUCUCCUGUGGAAAAGUUAGAGUGAAAUUCAUGUUUCACUUUAUAUUUUUAAUAUAUUGAUUUUUUAUUUUGUUCUUCAUU